CCGCCGCGCGCGGCGGGCCUACGGGAGGCAGCAGUGGGGAAUAUUGCACAAUGGGCGCAAGCCUGAUGCAGCCAUGCCGCGUGUAUGAAGAAGGCCUUCGGGUUGUAAAGUACUUUCAGCGGGGAGGAAGGUGUUGAGGUUAAUAACCUCAGCAUUGACGUUACCCGCAGAAGAAGCACCGGCUAACUCCGUGCCAGCAGCCGCGGUAAUA
rnacentral:rRNA from 1 species